UAUGAUAGAGGUCGCGGAUGACAUGAGUACGCUCCGUAACCGGCCGGCGCCGGGAGCUGAAAGGGGAUUCCGCCGAAGGAGCUGCGCAGCGCCCGGUGUGCAGCGGCCUGGGCCGAAGGAGAAUAUCUUUCGGACUGUCACGAAAGUGGAGCGCUGUCA
rnacentral:ncRNA from 1 species